rnacentral:tRNA from 1 species
GCGGGUGUAGUUCAGUGGUAGAACGUCAGCUUCCCAAGCUGAAUAUUGUGGGUCCGAUUCCCAUCACCCGCUCCA